UACGUAGGGGGCGAGCGUUGUUCGGAUUCAUUGGGCGUAAAGAGUGUGUAGGCGGUCCGGUAAGUCCGCUGUGAAAGUCGGGGGCUCAACCCUCGAAUGCCGGUGGAUACUGUCGGGCUAGAGUGCGGAAGAGGCGAGUGGAAUUCCUGGUGUAGCGGUGAAAUGCGCAGAUAUCAGGAGGAACACCUAUUGCGAAGGCAGCUCGCUGGGACGUAACUGACGCUGAGACGCGAAAGCGUGGGGAGCAAACAGG
rnacentral:rRNA from 1 species